AUUGAACGCUGGCGGCAGGCUUAACACAUGCAAGUCGAGCGGGGUGAUGGUGCUUGCACUAUCACUUAGCGGCGGACGGGUGAGUAAUGCUUAGGAAUCUGCCUAUUAGUGGGGGACAACAUCUCGAAAGGGAUGCUAAUACCGCAUACGUCCUACGGGAGAAAGCAGGGGAUCACUUGUGACCUUGCGCUAAUAGAUGAGCCUAAGUCGGAUUAGCUAGUUGGUGGGGUAAAGGCCUACCAAGGCGACGAUCUGUAGCGGGUCUGAGAGGAUGAUCCGCCACACUCGGACUGAGACACGGCCCAGACUCCUACGGGAGGCAGCAGUGGGGAAUAUUGGACAAUGGGGGGAACCCUGAUCCAGCCAUGCCGCGUGUGUGAAGAAGGCCUUAUGGUUGUAAAGCACUUUAAGCGAGGAGGAGGCUCUUUUGGUUAAUACCCAAGAUGAGUGGACGUUACUCGCAGAAUAAGCACCGGCUAACUCUGUGCCAGCAGCAGCCGCCGUAA
rnacentral:rRNA from 1 species